UACGAAGGGUGCAAACGUUGCUCGGAAUUAUUGGGCGUAAAGCGCACGUAGGCGGCUUUGCAAGUCGGAUGUGAAAUCCCUCGGCUCAACCAAGGAAGUGCAUCCGAAACUGCAGAGCUUGAGUACGAAAGAGGAUCGCGGAAUUCCCGGUGUAGAGGUGAAAUUCGUAGAUAUCGGGAGGAACACCAGUGGCGAAGGCGGCGACCUGGGUCGAUACUGACGCUGAGGUGCGAAAGCGUGGGGAGCAAACAGG
rnacentral:rRNA from 1 species